rnacentral:tRNA from 1 species
AGCCAGUUGGUAUAGUGGUUUGAGCACUGGACUAUGACUCCGGAGACCAGGGUUUGAAUCCUGGCUCAGCCA